rnacentral:rRNA from 1 species
AGAGCUUGAUCCUGGCUCAGAAUGAACGUUGGCGGCGUGCCUAACACAUGCAAGUCGAGCGAGAAAGUCCUUCGGGAUGAGUAGAGCGGCGGACGGGUGAGUAACGCGUGAGAAUCUACCUUCUAGUGAGGAAUACCUUUGGGAAACCAAAGUUAAUACUGCAUAAGUCUCGAAAGAGAGAAAGAUGGCCUCUUUGCUGUCGCUAGAAGAUGAGCUUGCGUUCUAUUAGUUAGUUGGUGGGGUAAAGGCCUACCAAGACGAUGAUGGAUAACCGGCCUGAGAGGGUGUACGGUCACACUGGAACUUAGACACGGUCCAGACUCCUACGGGAGGCAGCAGUGAGGAAUAUUGCACAAUGGGCGAAAGCCUGAUGCAGCGACGCCGCGUGGAGGAUGAAGGUUUUUGGAUUGUAAACUCCUGUUAAGUGGGGCAAAAGAAUCAUCCUGAAUACGGAUGAGAGAUGAUGGUACCACUAGAGAAAGCACCGGCUAACUUCGUGCCAGCAGCCGCGGUAAUACGAGGGGUGCAAACGUUAUUCGGAAUCACUGGGCGUAAAGGGUGUGUAGACGGUAAAGAAAGUCAAUCAUAAAAUCUCUCAGCUUAACUGAGAAACUGUGGUUGAAACUCCUAUACUUGAGGAUGGAAGAGGGAAGUGGAAUUCUCGGAGUAGCGGUAAAAUGCGUAGAUCUCGAGAGGAACACCGAUGGCGAAGGCAGCUUCCUAGUCCAUUUCUGACGUUGAGGCACGAAAGCGUGGGGAGCAAACAGGAUUAGAUACCCUGGUAGUCCACGCUGUAAACGAUGACCACUAGAUGUUAGGCUCAUUAUGGAGCUUAGUGUCGCAGCUAACGCGUUAAGUGAUCCGCCUGGGAAGUACGGUCGCAAGAUUAAAACUUAAAGGAAUUGACGGGGGUCCGCACAAGCGGUGGAACAUGUGGUUUAAUUCGAUACUACGCGAGGAACCUUACCUAGGCUUGACAUGCAUUUGAUCGCUGCGGAAACGUAGUUUUCUAGGCUUCGGUCUAGACAGAUGCACAGGUGCUGCAUGGCUGUCGUCAGCUCGUGUCGUGAGAUGCUUGUUAAGUCCUCUAACGAGCGCAACUCCUACGGUUAGUUGCUAUCCUUCGGGAGCACUCUAACAGAACUGCCUGGGAAACCAGGAGGAAGGUGGGAAUGACGUCAAGUCAUCAUGGUCCUUACGCCUAGGGCUACACACGUGUUACAAUGGCUGGUACAAAGAGUUGCAAGCUUGUAAAAGUAAGCUAAUCUCGUAAAGCCAGUCUAAGUUCGGAUUGAGGUCUGCAAUUCGACCUCAUGAAGUUGAAAUCGCUAGUAAUCGCGUAUCAGAACGACGCGGUGAAUUCGUUCUCGGACCUUGUACACACCGCCCGUCACACCACGAAAGUUUUUUAUACUCGAAGAUAUUUUAGCUAACCUUUUAGGAGGCGGAUAUUGACGGUGUGGGAAAUGAUUGGGGUGAAGUCGAAACAAGGUA